CGGGCUGUAGCUUAGUAGGUAGAGCGCCAGGCUGGGGGUCUGGAGGUCGCUGGUUCAAGUCCAGUCAGCCCGA
rfam:Candidatus Thrbacteria bacterium RIFCSPLOWO2_01_FTLL_53_9 rifcsplowo2_01_scaffold_54515, whole genome shotgun sequence.